AGGACGAACGCUGGCGGCGUGCUUAACACAUGCAAGUCGAGCGGAAAGGCCCUUCGGGGUACUCGAGCGGCGAACGGGUGAGUAACACGUGAGUAAUCUGCCCCUAGCUCUGGGAUAGCUCCGGGAAACCGGGAUUAAUACCAGAUACGACCACUUUAGACAUCUGUUGUGGUGGAAAGAAUUUUGGCUAGGGAUGAGCUCGCGGCCUAUCAGCUUGUUGGUGAGGUAACGGCUCACCAAGGCGACGACGGGUAGCCGGCCUGAGAGGGCGACCGGCCACACUGGGACUGAGACACGGCCCAGACUCCUACGGGAGGCAGCAGUGGGGAAUAUUGCGCAAUGGGCGAAAGCCUGACGCAGCGACGCCGCGUGGGGGAUGAAGGCCUUCGGGUUGUAAACCCUUUCAGCAGGACGAAGCGAAAGUGACGGUACCUGCAGAAGAAGCGCCGGCUAACUACGCGCCAGCAGCCGC
rnacentral:rRNA from 1 species